rnacentral:rRNA from 5 species
CUUGGGAAAUUUCAUCGUGAUGGGGAUAGAUCAUUGCAAUUGUUGGUCUUCAACGAGGAAUGCCUAGUAAGCGCGAGUCAUCAGCUCGCGUUGACUACGUCCCUGCCCUUUGUACACACCGCCCGUCGCUCCUACCGAUUGAAUGGUCCGGUGAAGUGUUCGGAUCGCGGCGACGGGGGCGGUUCGCCGCCCCCGACGUCGCGAGAAGUCCAUUGAACCUUAUCAUUUAGAGGAAGGAGAAGUCGUAACAAGGUUUCCGUAGGUGAACCUGCGGAAGGAUCAUUG